rnacentral:lncRNA from 1 species
GUGCUGAGUAUUCAAAUUAUUAACUAGUAAUUUUUAACUCUGUCGCCUGAUAUCAAUAGUAUAACAAUGCCAUGAAUGUCAUGCCAUUAACUUGUUUUGUAAAAAUGUAUGUAUGCACUGUUGUUAGAACACCAAAAAUAUCAAUAAAAAAAGAAAAAAAAAGAAGUUGACUGCCGCGAAAUAGCACAAUAAAGUUCAAAGUGGUGUUAAAGAACCAAUUUUUGGAAAAACAUGUAUUAUGUUGAGAAUAUGUCAGUUAUUUUUUACUUGUUCCGUUAAUUGAUGGUAUUUCAGUUUUCAUGACUACCACCGUUUGAAUAUGCCUUGGUGUUCAGUACUUUUGUUAGACUUUUUUACUAAUAGAUAAAACCAUAAGCUGGAUAUUCUAGUAGUUAAAACCAGAAGCUGGACUUUUAAAAAGAUCUAGAUACAUCCAUAUACAAGGCAAUCUUUACAACUCAAAAUAUUCCUUUAGAAAAAAAACUAACGGUAACUCUCACGAUUGUUUGAAAUAAUACAAAAUUAAU